UCCGUAGGGUGCAAGCGUUAAUCGGAAUUACUGGGCGUAAAGCGUGCGCAGGCGGUUAUGCAAGACCGAUGUGAAAUCCCCGGGCUCAACCUGGGAACUGCAUUUGUGACUGCAUGGCUAGAGUACGGUAGAGGGGGAUGGAAUUCCGCGUGUAGCAGUGAAAUGCGUAGAUAUGCGGAGGAACACCGAUGGCGAAGGCAAUCCCCUGGACCUGUACUGACGCUCAUGCACGAAAGCGUGGGGAGCAAACAGG
rnacentral:rRNA from 1 species